rnacentral:rRNA from 1 species
CAAAAACAUAGCCACUGCAGUCACUGGUGUCUCUUCUGCUCAAUGAGUAAUUAAAUAGCCGCAGUACUCUGACUGUGCAAAGGUAGCGUAAUCAAUUGACUUCUAAUUAAAGUCCCGUAUGAAUGAAAUAAUGGGGGCUUGCUGUAUCAGUAAUAAUUCCUGAAAUUACUUAGCAAGUGAAAAUACUUGCCGUUAAUUAAUAGACGAGAAGACCCUAGAAAUUUUAAGAUGGUUUUUGUUGGGGCAACAUAGUAACAUAUAAACUUACUCUAUGUAUAUGACAUUUGUUGGCAAAAAGAAAUUACUCUAGGGAUAACAGCAUAAUCUAAAAAUGUUUGUGACCUCGAUGUUGGAUUAGGAAGCGGACGUGUAGAAGACUUCCCGUGGUCUCUGGUCG